ensembl:lncRNA
GGGUACUGGGAUGUACUGGGGGCUACUGGGAUAUACUGGGAUGGAUUGGGGGGGACUGGGAUAUACUGGGAUAUACUGGGAUGGACUGGGAUGAACUGGGCAGGCACUGGGAUGGACUGGGGGGGUUACUGGUCCAUACUGGGAGGGUACUGGGCUAUACUGGGGGGUUGGGGGGUACUGGUUUAUACUGGUCCAUACUGGGAUGGACUGGGGGGGUUACUGGUCCAUACUGGGGAUGCUCUGCUCCAUACUGGGAGUACUGGUCCAUACUGGGAGUCCCGGUCCCGGACCAUACUGGCCUUACUGGUUCAUACUGGGCUAUACUGGUCCAUACUGGGCUAUACCGGUCCAUACUGGGCUAUACUGGUCCAUACUGGGAUAUACUGGGAGGGUACUGGUCCAUACUGGGAGUACUGGUCCCUAUGGGGAUGCCCUGCUCCAUACUGGGCAUACUGGUCCGUACUGGGAGUACUGGUCCCAAUCCAUACAGGGCUUACUGGUCCAUACUGGGCUAUACUGGUCCGUACUGG